UUGGUGGCUGAUCAAUGCAUGAGAAGGUUACAUAUUCAUUUACACAUUGAUUUGUGAAGGCUUAUUAUGGCUAGACGUUACAAUUCCACAAACACCACCUUUAAUUCUUCAGCUAACAUACUUUAACCACGUCUUCUACUUACAGCUCAUUCUGCACCAUUAAAUAUUCCGAAUUUGCUCUUGAAUCAAACAGAUGAAAUGUAGAGAAUUUCGUAAGCUAUCCAACGAGUUAAAGAUCACCUCAAAC
rnacentral:lncRNA from 1 species